rnacentral:rRNA from 1 species
GUCCACGCCUUAAACGAUGGAUAUUCGGUGUCGGUCCGCAAGGAUCGGUGCCUGAGCCAACGCGUUAAAUAUCCCACCUGGGGAGUACGAUCGCAAGGUUGAAACUCAAAGGAAUUGACGGGGCCCGCACAAGCAGUGGAGCAUGUGGUUCAAUUCGAUGCAACGCGAAGAACCUUACCUGGGUUUGAAAAGCUCUGUAAACCGGUGAAAGCCGGCUAGCGUAGCAAUACGCGCGGAGUACAGGUGCUGCAUGGCUGUCGU